GGGAGACACGGAGGAGCUGCUGCUGCCCAGAGUUGCUGCUUCCUCCCAAGCUCCUCCCCGAGCUGCUGUUGCCCGGAGCUACUGCUUCCUCCCAAGCUCCUCCCCGAGCUGAUCCUACCUCGUCCCGACGGGCAUGGAGGCGGGCAGGUCUGCCAGACCUGCAUCGACGGGCAUGGAUGCACCCAGGCGAGCCCGCAGUGAAAUUCAAGUACAGGUGCCACAAGGUUAAAUGUAGCCCCAAAACUUAAGCUUCUGGAGUUUGAGAACUGCAUGAAGAAGCAAGUAGAGAACUUGGUGAAUCCGCUGAAUGUCAUCAGCGGAAGGCUGUCGCAGCUGGAGCUAUUGCUAUAGGCUUGAAAGAUCCACUGGAGAGCUACAAAAUGACGUGAUGGAUUACCACGGCGAAGCAAAUCUCAACUUCAGUGGCCUUGAAAAGCAUGUGAAAGAGAUCACCGAGAAUGUGUACAAGGAGCUGGAGUGAAGCACCAAGAACCUACGCUUCUCACUACCAUACCCGCUCCUGCCUUUCCUUGUCUACCUCUGGUAAGCCCUGGCAAGAAUGGUUCGCAGUUCAACCCAAGCAGCGAUCUCUUCACCCAAAAGGAGAGGCAUGAUG